rnacentral:rRNA from 1 species
AACGUAGGAGACAAACGUUAUCCGGAGUUACUGGGCGUAAAGGGCGUGUAGGCGGUUAGUUAAGUCUGGCGUGAAAGCCCCCGGCUCAACUGGGGAGGGUCACGCGAUACUGAUCGACUCGAAGGCAGGAGAGGGUAGUGGAAUUCCCGGUGUAGUGGUGAAAUGCGUAGAUAUCGGGAGGAACACCAGUGGCGAAGGCGACUACCUGGCCUGUUCUUGACGCUGAGGCGCGAAAGCUAGGGGAGCAAACGGG